UUUCCCCUUCACUCUUCGUUGGUUCAUACUGUUUCGUCCUUGUGUUGUUCUGCGUCUCCUCGCCCCAUUUUCCUGCCCUGCUUUUGCUGCUGGAGUCCUCAAGCUGCACCGGCAGACCCAUGGGCUUACAGUCUUGCAAGCCUCGCAACUCGUGCCUACAAAGUAAGGAAGCAUGCGGGCCGGCUGGUGGCUGCUGCUCGUGUGUGUGUGACGACUGGAGAUACUGCUGCGACCGCUGCUGCGACAUCUGCUGCCAGGUGUGCGUGAACGUGUGCUCUGGCUUGUGUUCUGGAGACUGCAGCUACACCUUCUGUACUCUGUGCCUCAUCCUGGCACAGAACUGUGUCUCACUCUUUACCAGCCAGCCGACGCGAACAUCACAACUGGCAAUGAUGGACCAUGUUUAGUGAACAUGUGACCAAACCCAAAAGAUGCAUCUGGUUUUGAUGCGAGAAGCCACAUCAGCCCUGUAGGGCAGAGUUUUUUUGUUUUUUUUUUUCUAGAUAAGGAAACGGGAAGAAUGAAACCGGCAGAGGAGAAAUACUUGGAAAAAUCUGGAGAACCUUCACCUGCAGAAAAGCGUCGACAUCUCAAGAACUGAAAGCACUGCAGUGAAAGACUAAAUCAACUGAAAUCAACAGGCCAAUCAUACUUCAAGGAGAUGUGUAAUUAGCUGGGUAAAGAUACAAGGACAAGAGGCUGGCAUGAAGGUUUAGUCAUGGCUGAUUGGUUAGUGUACAGUAUUAAGUGACCAGAUGUAAAAAGGAGCACAUGAAUGAGGUUUUGAGGAAAUUGCAGUAAGUAUAUGUAAGAAAGAAAGUAGUAAUUAAGUGGCUGCGAAGGUCUUGAAGCAACAAGUUAUUCAUCUACUGGCAUAUUAACUUAAGGGACAAUGCAUGCUGAUACAGUAUGUUCCAGUGUGGAGAACAUUAAGCAGCAAUCAGCGACCAUCAACUAAACCAUGUAAUAAUGAAGAAAUAAAGUCUUUUAAGCACACGUA